rnacentral:rRNA from 1 species
GAUGAACGCUAGCGGCAGGCCUAACACAUGCAAGUCGAGGGGUAACAGGAGGUGCUUGCACUUUGCUGACGACCGGCGCACGGGUGCGUAACGCGUAUGCAACCUACCUUCUACAGGGGGAUAGCCCAGAGAAAUUUGGAAUAAUACCCCAUACGAUCAUUAAUUGGCAUCGAUUGAUGAAGAAAACUUUUGUGGUAGAAGAUGGGCAUGCGUCCUAUUAGUUAGUUGGUGAGGUAACGGCUCACCAAGACUUCGAUAGGUAGGGGCCCUGAGAGGGGGAUCCCCCACACUGGUACUGAGACACGGACCAGACUCCUACGGGAGGCAGCAGUGAGGAAUAUUGGACAAUGGGCGAGAGCCUGAUCCAGCCAUGCCGCGUGCAGGAAGACUGCCCUAUGGGUUGUAAACUGCUUUUAUACAGGAAGAAACUGUGCUACGUGUAGCACCCUGACGGUACUGUAAGAAUAAGGAUCGGCUAACUCCGUGCCAGCCGCCGCCGUAACAC